AUUGAACGCUGGCGGCAGGCUUAACACAUGCAAGUCGAGCGGGGUGAUGGUGCUUGCACUAUCACUUAGCGGCGGACGGGUGAGUAAUGCUUAGGAAUCUGCCUAUUAGUGGGGGACAACACUUCGAAAGGAAUGCUAAUACCGCAUACGUACUACGGGAGAAAGCAGGGGAUCUUCGGACCUUGCGCUAAUAGAUGAGCCUAAGUCGGAUUAGCUAGUUGGUGGGGUAAAGGCCUACCAAGGCGACGAUCUGUAGCGGGUCUGAGAGGAUGAUACGCCACACUGGGACUGAGACACGGCCCAGACUCCGACGGGAGGCAGCAGUGGGGAAUAUGGGACAAUGGGCGGAAGCCUGAUCCAGCCAUGCCGCGUGUGUGAAGAAGGCCUUAUGGUUGUAAAGCACUUUAAGCGAGGAGGAGGCUACUUUAGUUAAUACCUAGAGAUAGUGGACGUUACUCGCAGAAUAAGCACCGGCUAACUCUGUGCCAGCAGCCGCAGUAAAAC
rnacentral:rRNA from 1 species